rnacentral:rRNA from 1 species
CGCAAGCCUGACGGAGCAACGCCGCGUGUGGGAAGAAGGCUCUUGGGCUGUCAACCACUUUUCUCAGGGAAGAAGCCCUGACGGUACCUGAGGAAUCAGCCUCGGCUAACUCCGUGCCAGCAGCCGCGGUAAUACGGAGGAGGCAAGCGUUAUCCGGAAUUAUUGGGCGUAAAGCGUCCGCAGGGGACACAUCAAGUCUGCUGUUAAAGGCUGGAGCUUAACUCCGGUAGAGCAGUGGAAACUGGUGUGCUAGAGGGCGACAGGGGUAGAGGAAUUCCCAGUGUAGCGGUGAAAUGCGUAGAGAUUGGGAAGAACACCGGUGGCGAAAGCGCUCUACUGGGUCGCACCUGACCCUCAGGGACGAAAGCUAAGGGAGCG